UACGGGGGGGGCAAGCGUUGUCCGGAAUCAUUGGGCGUAAAGCGCUCGUAGGCGGUCUGUUGCGUCCGCUGUGAAAACUCGGGGCUUAACCCCGAGCCUGCAGUGGAUACGGGCAGACUAGAGGUAGGUAGGGGAGAAUGGAAUUCCCGGUGUAGCGGUGAAAUGCGCAGAUAUCGGGAGGAACACCGGUGGCGAAGGCGGUUCUCUGGGCCUUACCUGACGCUGAGGAGCGAAAGCGUGGGGAGCGAACAGG
rnacentral:rRNA from 1 species